CGCUGGCGGCAGGCCUAACACAUGCAAGUCGAGCGGAUGAAGGGAGCUUGCUCCCGGAUUCAGCGGCGGACGGGUGAGUAAUGCCUAGGAAUCUGCCUGGUAGUGGGGGACAACGUUCCGAAAGGAGCGCUAAUACCGCAUACGUCCUACGGGAGAAAGUGGGGGAUCUUCGGACCUCACGCUAUCAGAUGAGCCUAGGUCGGAUUAGCUAGUAGGUGGGGUAAUGGCUCACCUAGGCGACGAUCCGUAACUGGUCUGAGAGGAUGAUCAGUCACACUGGAACUGAGACACGGUCCAGACUCCUACGGGAGGCAGCAGUGGGGAAUAUUGGACAAUGGGCGAAAGCCUGAUCCAGCCAUGCCGCGUGUGUGAAGAAGGUCUUCGGAUUGUAAAGCACUUUAAGUUGGGAGGAAGGGCAGUAAGUUAAUACCUUGCUGUUUUGACGUUACCAACAGAAUAAGCACCGGCUAACUUCGUGCCAGCAGCNGGG
rnacentral:rRNA from 1 species